UGGCGGACGGGUGAGUAACGCGUGGGCAACCUGCCCUGUACUGGGGGAUAACACCUGGAAACAGGUGCUAAUACCGCAUAAGCGCGCAGUGCCGCAUGGCGCGGCGCGGAAAACCCCGGUGGUACAGGAUGGGCCCGCGUCUGAUUAGCUGGUUGGCAGGGUAACGGCCUACCAAGGCGACGAUCAGUAGCCGGCCUGAGAGGGUGGACGGCCACACUGGGACUGAGACACGGCCCAGACUCCUACGGGAGGCAGCAG
rnacentral:rRNA from 1 species